rnacentral:rRNA from 1 species
CCUACGGGAGGCAGCAGUAGGGAAUCUUCCACAAUGGACGAAAGUCUGAUGGAGCAACGCCGCGUGAGUGAAGAAGGGUUUCGGCUCGUAAAGCUCUGUUGGUAGUGAAGAAAGAUAGAGGUAGUAACUGGCCUUUAUUUGACGGUAAUUACUUAGAAAGUCACGGCUAACUACGUGCCAGCAGCCGCGGUAAUACGUAGGUGGCAAGCGUUGACCGGAUUGAUUGGGCGUAAAGCGAGUGCAGUCGGUUCAAUAAGUCAGAUGUGAAAGCCUUCGGCUCAACCGGAGAAUUGCAUCAGAAACUGUUGAACUUGAGUGCAGAAGAGGAGAGUGGAACUCCAUGUGUAGCGGUAGAAUGCGUAGAUAUAGGGAAGAACACCAGUGGCGAAGGCCGCUCUCUGGUCUGCAACUGACGCUGAGGCUCGAAAGCAUGGGUAGCGAACAGGAUUAGAUACCCUUGUAGUC